UCUACGGGGGGCUGCAGUGGGGAAUAUUGCACAAUGGGCGCAAGCCUGAUGCAGCCAUGCCGCGUGUGUGAAGAAGGCCUUCGGGUUGUAAAGCACUUUCAGCGGGGAGGAAGGCGUUAAGGUUAAUAACCUUGGCGAUUGACGUUACCCGCAGAAGAAGCACCGGCUAACUCCGUGCCAGCAGCCGCGGUAAUACGGAGGGUGCAAGCGUUAAUCGGAAUUACUGGGCGUAAAGCGCACGCAGGCGGUCUGUCAAGUCGGAUGUGAAAUCCCCGGGCUCAACCUGGGAACUGCAUUCGAAACUGGCAGGCUAGAGUCUUGUAGGGGGGGGUAGAAUUCCAGGUGUAGCGGUGAAAUGCAUAGAGAUCUGGAGGAAUACCGGGGGCCAAGGCGGCCCCCUGGACAAAGACUGACGCUCAGGUGCGAAAGCGUGGGGAGCAAACAGGAUUAAUACCCUUGUAGUC
rnacentral:rRNA from 1 species